CUUCACCCUGUCUGUCUCUGACCACUAGGCCUAUCAGAUGGACCAAUAGAGGCCCUCUCCUUCACCCUGUCCGUCUCUGACCACUAGGCCUAUCAGAUGGACCAAUAGAGGCCCUCUCCUUCACCCUGUCUGUCUCUGACCACUAGGCCUAUCAGAUGGACCAAUAGAGGCCCUCUCCUUCACCCUGUCUGUCUCUGACCACUAGGCCUAUCAGAUGGACCAAGAGAGGCCCUCUCCUUCACCCUGUCCGUCUCUGACCACUAGGCCUAUCAGAUGGACCAAGAGAGGCCCUCUCCUUCACCCUGUCUGUCUCUGACCACUAGGCCUAUCAGAUGGACCAAUAGAGGCCGUCUCCUUCACCCUGUCUGUCUCUGACCACUAGGCCUAGCAUAUGGACCAAGAGAGGCUCUGAAUUAUUUUAUGACUUACUGCCCCUACAGCCAUUAUCAAUCACAUUCAAAGAUUAAUUUCCACCAGUAUCAUUUAUAUUGGAUCAACAAGAAGAUACAAUAUAUGCCUUCGUAAUAAAAUCUGAUAAUAAACCAAUCCAGAGGUAGUUUGUUGUUCCUUCCCAAUCUAAAUUACUGCCUGGAUAGGAGAGGAGAGAGAGUCAGAGAGAGAGUCAAAGAGUCAGAGAGAG
rnacentral:lncRNA from 1 species